rnacentral:rRNA from 1 species
UACGUAGGGUCCGAGCGUUAAUCGGAAUUACUGGGCGUAAAGCGUGCGCAGGCGGUUUUGUAAGCCAGAUGUGAAAGCCCCGGGCUCAACCUGGGAACUGCAUUUGGGACUGCAAGGCUGGAGUACGGCAGAGGGAGGUGGAAUUCCACGUGUAGCAGUGAAAUGCGUAGAGAUGUGGAGGAACACCGAUGGCGAAGGCAGGUCUCUGGGCAUUAACUGACGCUGAGGAGCGAAAGCAUGGGGAGCGAACAGG